GUGCGAGACCGAUAGCGAACAAGUACCGUGAGGGAAAGAUGAAAAGAACUUUGAAAAGAGAGUUAAAGAGUACCUGAAACUGCUGAAAGGGAAGCGAAUCGUAUCCAGUGUCUAUAAUCUGCGGCAUAUUUCAUUGGCGGCGGUGCGCGUGCUUUUGCGUCGGAAGCGGCUUUUGUUGCUCUGUGCUUUUGCUGUGCGUGGUGUUGCUGGUGCCCUGUGUUGCGGUGGGACGUCAGAGUCAGUUUGUAUGCUGCGGGAAAUGGCUGCCGAGGAGGUAGGUCGAGAUUUCGGUCUUGGCUGUUAUAUCUUGGUGGUUUGUUGUCGUGGUUGAGACUGAGGUGCCUACAAUGUGCUUUUGAGUGUACCGGGUUCUCAUUUGGUGGACUGUUUGGAUAGCUUGCUAUGCUUGUGGUUUUUUCAUCGGGUGAUUGAGUCUGGUGGUAACUUGUUGCUGUUCGGGACUUUG
rnacentral:rRNA from 2 species